AUUUUGUCUAAAUAAUGGAUAAAAAGUCAUCAAAGGAAGUGUCACUAGGAGGCUGCCUGUCUGUCUGUCUGUCUCUCUGCCUGCCUGCCUGUCUGUCUGUCUGUCUGUCUGUCUGUCUCUCUGCCUGCCUGUCUGUCUGUCUCUCUGUCUGCCUGCCUGUCUGCCUGUCUACCUGUCUGUCUGUCUGCCUGCCUGUCUGUCUGUCCGCCUGCCUAUCUGUCUGUCUGUCUGUCUGUCUGUCUGCCUGUCUGUCUCUCUCUCUCUCUCUGUCUACCUGUCUGCCUGCCUGUCUGUCUGCCUGUCUGUCUGUCUGCCUGUCUACCUGUCUGUCUGUCUGUCUGUCUGUCUGUCUGUCUGCCUACCUGCCUGUCUGUCUGCCUGUCUGUCUGUCUGUCUGCCUGUCUGUCUGUCUACCUGUCUGUCUCUCUACAUGCCUGUCUACCUGUCUGUCUCUCUGUCUGUCUGUCUACCUGUCUGUCUACCUAUCUGUCUGUCGGCCUGUCUGUCUGUCUACCUGUCUGUCUCUCUACCUGCCUGUCUACCUGUCUGUCUACCUGUCUGCCUGCCUGUCUGUCUCUCUGCCUGUCUGUCUGUCUGUCUGCCUGUCUGUCUGUCUGUCUUUCUGUCUGUCUCUCUACCUGCCUGUCUGUCUGUCUACCUGUCUGCCUGUCUGCUGCUCCUCGUGCAGGGGGCGUGUCGCCCCGCCUGAUCCCCGCAUGCUGCACACAUGAAACAUGAAGCGUGCGCAGCAGCAGCAGCAGCAGCUGACAUCUGUCAACAAGAGGUGCUCUGGCUCCGAGCAGCUUCUCUCCGACACUCCGGAUCCUCCGAGGGGAAAGUAGACGCGACUCGCUUCCUCCCCCGCCCUCGGUGACACAUCGCCCCGGGCAUCCCUCAUCCCUCAUCCCUCUGCGGCGAUGGCGAAGAAGGGCUCGUCCAGAAAGUCCCUGAAAAGUUUGUUCUCCCGGAGCGAAGCCCACCUGGACCGGUCGGCGGAGAGGGACGCGAACAAAGGCGAGGGCGAGAAGAAAAGGUUCAAGCUCUUCCACUUCAAGAGGAAGUCGAGGGGCGAGAGCCUGGAGUCGCUCGGUGCUGCUGAGGCCAACAACACUGCCGAGGACGGAGAGGCCUGGGCGGACAACAUUGUCCCGGACAGCAAGAGGCCUUCUCGCUAUGCCACCGCACCCAGGUCAAAGGGCAAAGAAUUCAGCUACUCGGAGUUGGACCUUCGUAAGCCCAAAAGGUUUGCCACCUUUUCCUUUGGCCUCCGAAAGAGGAAGAAGAAGGAUGAAGAGAAUAUCUCCAAGAGCACUUUUGGCCUCCAUAGCUCCGUCAUCGAUGAGGACGGGGAGACCACUCUGGACCUCAGUCAGGUGGAGUUGGACCAGGGCAACGUGAAGACGAUGUUCAGUAUGUCUCAACCGGAACUUGACACCUGCCAAAAGUUCGACAUCCCUUCUCCUCCCCCUGCGGCCACCAACCAAUCAGAAUCCCACCUCACCGUCCCUGACCAAUCACGGCCGCUCGUCACCGUGAACACGCAGCCAGAAUCCCAGGGGCGCCCGAAAGGCUCCGAUCUCGCGGACGUGCACUGGGACGUGCCCGAAGCACCCAUUGCUUCCAUCCCCGAGCUCCGGCUGGAUGACGAAGAAGUGGGCAUUCCUGUUUACAAUAACUCGACCAGACGUGAAUCACCUGCUCCUUUGACUCACGGGGAAAGCGUCCCGGUCGCUGAUACCCAGGCUGCACCUGGCCUUCCAGCCCGCCAGCCUCCGGGCGCGCACAAUGCGGCGGCGGAUGAGUCAGCGCGCGCAAGCCCCGGCCCUCGCGAUAACGAUAUCCUCCACCAGUCUCGCACGAUAACAGAAACCCCUCCUCCAGAAUCCACCGGUGUCCCAGUAUCAUAUCAUCGACCCGAGGCCCCCGACGGAGCCGACACUGCGACUCCGGGUGGCGAACGCUCCCCGGCGAGUGUUUACUCCAAAGCCGACGCCUCGAUUACAGAGUCCAGCCCCGCUCCCCCCAAACACAAUGACAUCUCUGCUCCGAGCGCGCGUUCGGCCGCCAUCAUCAGUGACGCCGCCCCGAUUCCUCGCGUCGAGAGCUCCCUUCCUGAAGCUGCCCAAAGGGCCGCCAGCCCGGCUGGUAGCAGUGAAAGGCGUCCUCGUCCUUACAGUCAGAAUGUGCUUUAUGGAGCGCUGUAUGACUCACUCUUCCCUCAGAGUUUUACCUCUGAGGUGAUGUCAUCCCUCCCGAACCCCCCACCUCCGAUCCACACGGAGAGGAGACGCCUGACAUCUACCAAAUCGGAGCCUGUCAUGGUUAAAACCCGCGACGAGUGUCACACGGAGACCAAUGUGACAUACUCUCGCCCGUCGUCUACGCGUGACCCUGCCGCUCGCAGGGCGCAGGAUGCAGAGGGCCGGCCCGCCGCCGACUCCAAGGCAGAUGCGUCAAGCGAGAGCUCAGGUUUUUCCUUUUCCCAAAGUUCUGCCGCCGCUGAUUAUCAGCCAGACGCAGACAUCCGCCACAGAUAUCGCCCGUCCUCGCCGCGUUCAACUUCUGGACCAGUAGGUGAAGACAGUCCCUAUUCGGAGCUGACCCGCUCCCUUCCAGAGGUGAAAUCAGACCGUUGUAGCCUCGUCCGUGACGCCGUCCCUGUGGUUCAAAACUCUGCCCCUCCCGCUUCUGACUGUGUCACAUCCCCAGGGCCAGAGACUCGGGUUACCGACUGCAAACCGAGAGUGAUCCUGGUCAAAGAGACAGUCACUGACGAGGCGAGCGCCGACUCCGGCUGUCCCGCUCCUGUCCCGGACAAAAUGAGCGCAGUCGACGGCCUCGAGAUACAAAUUGGAGCAACGGAGAGCUUUUAUGCCGCCUCCGGUUCCGGAACGACGGAGGGGAGCGACGGCCUUUUGAGCCCGGCGUAUCUGAGCGUCGGAUCGGACGAUGGCAGCGCCAUGGAGGUCUACUACAGCGCCGAAGAGAACGGCGCAGAGGAGAGCGGGGACGAGGAGAUGUACACGAUGUACGAAAGGGAAGACGUCCGCGCGGCGGGCGGUGCGCACGAGAUGGACUGGGGGGAGACCGCAGAGAGGGGAGGGAGCAAGAGAGACGGGGGAGACUUUAGGGUGGUCACUGUUCAGAUGCGGAAUGAGGGCGGCAACACGGGCGACGACGAAGACAAAGAGGAGGACCUCAGCGGCCAAACUGGAGCGCAGCAGCGGCCGGGAGGUCAGGCGGAAGAAGCUCCGGCGCGCGAGGAUCUUGUCAGCGAUGAUGCAAGCAGGCAUGAGAGAGAAUCGGCAGCCGCAGCGUUGCCACAGAUUACAGAGGAGGAGGGGGAGGAGGAGGAGGAGGAGGAGGUGGGGGGGAGAAAGGAGCAGGUACUGGCCACACCGGUUCAGCUGGUGAACACGGUGAUGGUAUGCGAGGUUGCUCCACCCUCCGGUGAGCCGCAUGUGCAGGGGGAGUGGUCGGAGGGAAACCGGACCAGGCACUCGGAAACAGAAGACCCCCUCGGUGGAGACAAACAACUCCCAGGCCAGGGGAUACGAUAUCCGGCUCACAAAGACGACAGGAGUUCUCAGCAUACACGCGCCGCAGCGGAGACGGUUUCUCCGUCGGCAGACAACCGAGAGACAGAAGACAGCAUAGAAACCAGCGGAGCUGCCGUCGGGGAGACUCCAGCUGGAGCCGCCGCCGUCGUCACGGGCGACUCGACGCGCGGCGCCGUGCUGCAAUCAGAUGCCACGGAGGCCGAACACAAUAGGAGCCUGCAGAGCAGCGAGUGGGCGGGUACGAUUACCGAGAGCGCCGGAGGGGAAAAGAGGACGGCGCGCGAACAGGCGGCAGUCGAGCUGUCAGCGCCGACUGCGGACGCACACCGCCCUGACACCGAACCCGCCGAGUCGCGCGGCGAGAGAGGCGAGCGCGCGGCAGAAGAGCGGCCCGACCUGAAUCCGGGGUAAGUGGCGAGUCUCACACGUUUUGGGGUGGAAAAGGCGCCUCUACGUUUUGGGUGUAGCGUGUGAAUGAACCGGUACGUCGGGUAGUUGCCGUAGGGUUCAUCUGUGGGAGAGAGCGCAGCAGGUGUGAGUGCAAAGUUGACAAGUGUGUCAUGUAGGAGAUCGCAGCCUCCGUAGCCGACAACACACUGCUGUGAAUAGCACGUUGGGGGAGUUUGCCUCCAAGGCUCUUUCAGGUGAUUAACGUUGAGAAAAGGCUCUAAUUUAAAACCAAAUGAAGAUCCUUUCCCCCCCCCACACCUAACCAACGUGUUUUUUUCAUUGCCAAAACGUAAACCAAACUGCGGCAGACAAACCGGGGUGCCGACGUCUUGACUGCCAAGACGAUAGACGGCGCAUGGGUUAAACCUCCAGUGUCUCGGCUUCACGCUGUGGGGUCACGUGACAGGCACCCGGGACCCCGGGGGGUGGGCUGAGCAUUAACUCCUGGUGGAAAGAAAAAAAAAAAGAGGUCAGCACUGGAUGAGACGCCUCGUUUACCGACAGUAUCUGUGGAGCACUUGAACAUUUUUUUGAAAUCACCAUAUAAAGCACGUGACAUAAACCACGGGCUGCGUCGAUUGCUCACACACAGUUUGCAGAUCAUGUCAUGCAGUGUAUGAGUUGGCAGGACGAGGACAAAUUGCGUACUGGCUUUGCAAUUUUUUCUCUUGUCCUCUGAGCCAUCACUCAGUACAAUAAGCAAUACAGUCAUCUCCCAUAUUGGUACAGUACACGAGGCCGACUAGAGCGGAAAAAUCACAACAGCAACAAAGAGAGCAAAUG
ensembl:lncRNA